CUGCAUCCACGGAUAGACCUUGAACAAUGUGUUGUUCUUCUGGUUUGCAUUAGGAUGCGAAAGGAAAUAGUGCCAAUUUCCCCACACAGAGUGGCUCCGGAUGACACCCUCUCUGGGCAGACCCUCA
ensembl:snoRNA